GCCGAAUUUGAGAGAGAAAGAAAGAGGAAGGACACAAAAAAGAGAAGGAAGAAGAUAGAAAGAAAGAAGGGAAGGAGAAGAAGGAGGCUAGGGUUUCGAAAUCCUAGGUGCCCAAAGGUGUGCUCUUGCUUUUGAGUGUUGAUCAUAGUCGACGAGGCACGUUGUAAAGUUAUCCCGCUAUUAUUUUGUGCUUGGACCUGAGGAAGACGUGCCUAAGAUUCUGGCCAAAAGGGUGCCAAAGAAAUUCAUGGCCAAAAUGGUGGCCAAAAGGGUGCCAUGGAAGCGUCCAAUCGAUAGGCAAAUGUGAUCAUUGGAAAAUAGGGGAGCCAUGAUCUUAUGUUGUAUGCUUAUGAUUAUGUUGCUUAUGAUAUUACGUUGAAUAUUUAUGCUCAUGUUGUAAAUGAUCUUAUGGUUAUGGUUACGGUCUUAUGAUGUAUGCUUAUGUUGCAAUAGUAUCAUGUUUAUGAUUAUAACAGAUGUUGAUAGCAAUUGCUAAAAGAAAAUUAUGUUGAAAAUGUAU